rnacentral:lncRNA from 1 species
UCCCCACCCCCACGAGGGCCGCGGCCGUGGGGCGCUGGUAGCUCUCCCGCCCUUCCGCCCUGCACCCCUCCCGCCCUGGGGCUCCUUCUUGGACUGCGGCUGCAGCCUUCUCUCCCCGGAGGGCUCAGAGUUCGUCCCCUUUUCGCGGUUGGGAACGUGGACACGCCGGAGCCUGGAUGCAGAAGGGCACGCGGAAGCAUGAAGCUGCUGCGCGAGCCGCAGCCCAGAGUCCAGGCCGCACCACUCUGCUGAUCCUAAGGACUACGGAAACCCUGCGCGCCGACGGUGGCCUGGGAGUUGGCGCGGGCCUCAGCGCUAGAAAACGAAUCCCACUCCCAGAAAGGCGGGCCGCACAUCCCGCUUCUGCCUCCUGGAGAAUUAGUUCGGCGGAGUCCGUGGCCGGGGAGGGAGGGAGAGUCAGGCCUUGGGGCGACUAAUCGGGUAGGGAGUAGCUUCUGGGGCGCUCCCUUGCCUACGGAAGGCCGGCGAGGCUGCCCUCAGAGCGCCGCCAGGUACGUGCGUUUUCCUUGUUUCCCGCGCGCCCAGAGCGCACUCUGGGGAGAGAAUGAAUAAAAACCCAGCUGGUGUGUAGGAGAUUUUCGCAGCAAACGUGUCCCUUUCUGAGGGGUCCUGGGACGGCAGCCGAACUCGGGGUAGCCCCUGCGCUGUGUCCUGGAAUCCCUACUGGGCUCUCCACCACCCGCAGGAUCCGGCUUGGAGCCAGUCCCCGUGGAAAUGCGCGUCGCUUUAUUCUAAGGCCCACGAAAUUUACCCCGGACGCGGUGGGUACCACAACAGGAUGGCUCUGUUUCCUAGUGGUUCCUGCAGUUAUCCCCUAACCUGAAAACCUAGAAUUCCUGUUUUCUGAACCGGUAUGUUUACUUUAGGGAAACCCGGGCUUGGCUCCUGCUGCUCUCCGGGUGUCCAGGAACGAAUCCCUCCGGGAUCCGGGAACUCCAGAUUUGCGGGGUUAGGAGAUACCCUCAGCGGACUGAGUUGUGGUUUUUUUGUUGGUGGUGGUUUGUUAUUUUUCAGCAUCAGAAGAGCCUGAUAGUUGAACUGGAGCGGGCCCCGUCCCCUCCCCCAUACCCACUUCAAACAAAAGAGCUCCUCCGAGAAUAUUUUUUAGGGGGAGAGUGCUUCUGAAUGUGGACCCGUAGUUCUCCCCGCCCCCCGUUCCUAGGAAGGACAAGGGUUUUAUAUGUGUGUUUAAAACAAAGGGGAAUCUUGGCGCGAGUUGCCGGGAAAGGGGCGCUUUUAUUUCGGAGUUCUUGAAGAAUUCACAUUCUUUUCUCCCAAGUUUGCUGCAGCUGAGCCAGAAGUGUCCCCACUGGCUUACCCGAUAGUGAGAUGUUACACGGUGUCGGCUGAGUGUGGCUUUGUGAGAAGAUCGUUUCAGAAGAGGAAACGAGCCUCUGGCUGGUGGGGUAGAAACCCCUGUGGAAUGAAAAGUACUCCCAAGUCUCUUUGCGGAAGAUUGCAAAGUAAGGUGGGUUGUUUUUCUUUUGUUCCAUCCUUCCCACCCCUUAAGUUAGAACAAAAGGUUUCCAAGCGUACAGCGCCGGGUGGACGUUUGGAAGCUGCGAGUGGAAUGAAUCUCUCGUUUAAAAACUUCGGGACCCCCACGCACACCAAGUGUCUAUCUCCGUCGUAGUUUGGGUGAGGAAGAAUGUGACUUUCCGAGUCGGGUAGAGCACGGAUCCCACGAUGGAGAGAAGGUCCCGGCGGGGGGAAGGCCCCUCUUUCUAGGACAAAGCGAUCCUUAAUUGUGGCCAGAGUCCCGGGCGAAUUCGCUGCGCGCGUCUGUCUGCCCGCGCGGCGCUUGGUGGGUAGUCCCGCUUCCACCAAAACUCUGUAUUUCGUUUCUCUCAAAAUAAAACUCAACAAGCCAUAAAGCUUCCGACGCCGGUGGAGAAGGCGCCGCGGAUUUAUGGCCCCCGAAUUCCCCACUCUCUAAUUAUCCUUGUGUUUACUUGACUUAUGGGUAGUGACCAAUAAAAUCAUUUUCCAUUUUGGAUUU